ACUCUAUAUGGGCAAAAUUCUCCGAAAGGGAAUGACGCAAAGCCAUGGAUCUACAGUCUCAUUUAUUUCAUGAGACCAUGACAGCCAGGUUGCCGAG
rnacentral:ncRNA from 1 species